GAUGAAGAACGCAGCGAAAUGCGAUACGUAGUGUGAAUUGCAGAAUUCCGCGAAUCAUCGAGUUUUUGAACGCAAGUUGCGCCCGAGGCUUGUCCGAGGGCAUUUCCGCUAGAGCGUCACCGCGCCCCCCCCCCACCACGCUCCCUAAGUUACUUGGGAGUUUGAGUGGAACUGGCCGUCCCGGAAAUCGGGUCGGCUGAAAUGGAGGGAAUUUGGCCGCCGUGGCAUCACUUGCCCCCGCGAUCAGGUGCGAUUUCGAAAGUUAUCUUCCAAGUGCGGGGGCUCCCAGUGAGCCCCGAGUGCGUGCCGGAGUUCCACAGCAGGCUACCUUUACCACUUGGGGCCAGCGAUGGCCCAAGACACGAAGGGAAAAGAGGUAACGCAUCAGACCUCUAAUCGGAAAAGACUACCCGCCGAGUUUAAGCAUAUCAAUAAGCGGAGGA
rnacentral:misc_RNA from 1 species